rnacentral:rRNA from 1 species
AAAAUUGGACAAUGGGGGCAACCCUGAUCCAUCCAUGCCGCGUGUGUGAAGAAGGUCUUCGGAUUGUAAACCACUUCAAGAUGGGAGGAAGGGCUUUAGGUUAAUACCCUGAGGUUUCUACGUUACUCACAGAAUAAGCACCGGCUAACUGUUUGCCAGCAGCCGAGGUAAUACAGAGGGUGCAAGCGUUAAUCGGAAUUAAUGGGCGUAAAGCGCGCGUAUGUGGUUCAGUAAGAUGGGUGUGAAAUCCCCGGGCUUAACCUGGGAACUGCUUUCAUAACUGCUGAGCUAGAGUACGGUAGAGGGUAGUGGAAUUUCCUGUGUAGCGGUGAAAUGCGUAGAUAUAGGAAGGAACACCAGUGGCGAAGGCGACUACCUGGACUGAUACUGACACUGAGGUGCGAAAGCGUGGGGAGCAAAC